rnacentral:rRNA from 1 species
CACGUAGGGCGCAAGCGUUGUCCGGAAUUAUUGGGCGUAAAGAGCUCGUAGGCGGUCUGUUGCGUCCGCUGUGAAAACUCGGGGCUUAACCCCGAGCCUGCAGUGGAUACGGGCAGACUAGAGGUAGGUAGGGGAGAAUGUAAUUCCCGGUGUAGCGGUGAAAUGCGCAGAUAUCAGGAAGAACACCCGUGGCGAAGGCGGCUCUCCGGGACGGUACUGACGCUGAGACGCGAAAGCGUGGGGAGCAAAACGG